rnacentral:lncRNA from 1 species
UGUGUUAAACCUUUUGUCGUUUACAUGCAAAAAUAAAAUAAAAAUGAAAUAGCAUUGCCAAAAACGCCGCGUUUAAUGGUGGGUGGGUAAAUCUAAAUUUGAAAAGGCUUGAGAUACGCGAUCAUUUUGGGGAGGGAGUGAGGAGAAGCGAAAGAUGAACAAUCGAAGAUCCGAAAUUAAGUAAUGAUCCUGAGGUUUGAGGAUUCGAGCUCAACUAAG